AUUGAACGCUGGCGGCAUGCCUUACACAUGCAAGUCGAACGGCAGCACGGGAGCAAUCCUGGUGGCGAGUGGCGAACGGGUGAGUAAAGUAUCGGAACGUGCCCAGUCGUGGGGGAUAACGUAGCGAAAGUUACGCUAAUACCGCAUACGAUCUAUGGAUGAAAGCGGGGGAGCGGAAGACAUCGCGCGAUUGGAGCGGCCGAGAUCAGAGUAGGUAGUUGGUGGGGUAAAGGCGCACCAAGCCGACGAUCUGGAGCUGGUCUGAGAGGACGCCCGGCCCCACUGGGACUGAGACACGGCCCAGACUCCUACGGUAGGCAGCAGUGGGGAAUUUUGGACAAUGGGCGAAAGCCUGAUCCAGCCAUGCCGCGUGCAGGAUGAAGGCCUUCGGGUUGUAAACUGCUUUUGUACGGAACGAAAAGGUUUGGGCUAAUAAGCUGAGCUCAUGACGGUACCGUAAGAAUAAGCACCGGCUAACUACGUGCCAGCCGCCGCCGUAA
rnacentral:rRNA from 1 species